GACGAACGCUGGCGGCGUGCUUAACACAUGCAAGUCGAACGGAAAGGCCCUGCUUUUGUGGGGUGCUCGAGUGGCGAACGGGUGAGUAACACGUGAGUAACCUGCCCUUGACUUUGGGAUAACUUUAGGAAACUGGGGCUAAUAACGGAUAGGAGCUCCUGCUGCAUGGUGGGGGUUGGAAAGUUUCGGCGGUUGGGGAUGGACUCGCGGCUUAUCAGCUUGUUGGUGGGGUAGUGGCUUACCAAGGCUUUGACGGGUAGCCGGCCUGAGAGGGUGACCGGCCACAUUGGGGCUGAGAUGAGGCCCAGCAUCCUACGGGAGGCAGCAGUGGGGAAUAUUGCACAGUAGGCGGAAGCCGGAUGCAGCAACGCCGCGUGCGGGAUGACGGCCUUCGGGUUGUAAACCGCUUUCGCCUGUGACGAAGCGUGAGUGACGGUAAUGGGUAAAGAAGCACCGGCUAACUACGUG
rnacentral:rRNA from 1 species